rnacentral:rRNA from 1 species
UACAGAUUGUGCAAGCGUUAAUCGGACUUACUGGGCGUAAAGCGCGCGGAGGUGGCCAAUUAAGUCAAGUGUGAAAUCCCCGAGCUUAACUUGGGAAUUGCAUUCGAUACUGGUUGGCUAGAGUAUGGGAGAGGAUGGUAGAAUUCCAGGUGUAGCGGUGAAAUGCGUAGAGAUCUGGAGGAAUACCGAUGGCGAAGGCAGUCAUCUGGCCUAAUACUGACACUGAGGUGCGAAAGCAUGGGGAGCAAACAGG